UGAGCUGAAGUGGUCUGGGUGCCUGGAGUGUCCCUUUAAGUGGAAAUAUUCAGUCCCUGUAGCCUUUCGAUCUGCCUCCCGCAACGCCACGCCCUUUCAUUUUUUUUUCAUCCAAGCCAAUGCUCCUAAUAGAGGAGCAUUGGGAAGGAACAGCACUGUGCUCCUCCAAUGAAAGAGGGAGGGGGUGAGUCCGUUCUCACAGCAAAGUGGCUGUCAAGAAGAGGCAUAUUUAGCCCUGCAAAAUAUGCAUUGCUAUAUCUAUUCAAUGCAGGAUUACAACUAAAGGACUACUGCACUUGGUCUUGAUGCUUUUAGUGGUCGUUUAAGAAAGCAAACUGCUUGAGAAUUCAUAAAUGUGAGAAAUUAAAGGACAGAUGGGCAGACAAGCAAAACCAGAGAAGAAAAACCGCUCCUCCUUGCUUCUCACCAUGAUUGUGUGUUUUGGAAAUCUAGCUCUGACAUCCUUCACAUGUUGCACAAACUGCUCAGAGUAUCCAUUAGCAACAUCCAGGCAGAUAUAACGAACUUGAGGUACAGCAGACAGGACUUCUUCAACAUGCUGGAAAUCUGACUGCCCUGUUCCAGAGCUCACAGCCACGUUCUGCGGAAGAUAUGUUUUAAUAUACUCACAGUCGUGUACUUCAAAACACGUCAAUUUAUCUUUUUACAAACUACUACUGUCCACAAGGAAUGUUGUAAAUAUUUAAAAUUUAUAUAUUUUAAAUAAAGUAUUUGG